rnacentral:rRNA from 1 species
AUGAACGCUGGCGGCGUGCUUAACACAUGCAAGUCGAACGGAAAGGCCCAAGCUUGCUUGGGUACUCGAGUGGCGAACGGGUGAGUAACACGUGGGUGAUCUGCCCUGCACUUCGGGAUAAGCCUGGGAAACUGGGUCUAAUACCGGAUAGGACCACUUCUUGGAUGUUGUGGUGGAAAGUUUUUUCGGUGUGGGAUGAGCUCGCGGCCUAUCAGCUUGUUGGUGGGGUAAUGGGCUACCAAGGCGUCGACGGGUAGCCGGCCUGAGAGGGUGUACGGCCACAUUGGGACUGAGAUACGGCCCAGACUCCUACGGGAGGCAGCAGUGGGGAAUAUUGCACAAUGGGCGCAAGCCGGAUGCAGCGACGCCGCGUGGGGGAUGACGGCCUUCGGGUUGUAAACUCCUUUCGCUAGGGACGAAGCGUUUUGUGACGGUACCUGGAGAAGAAGCACCGGCUAACUACGUG